rnacentral:rRNA from 1 species
GACGAACGCUGGCGGCGUGCCUAAUACAUGCCAGUAGAACGCUGAAGGAGGAGCUUGCUUCUCUGGAUGAGUUGCGAACGGGUGAGUAACGCGUAGGUAACCUGCCUGGUAGCGGGGGAUAACUAUUGGAAACGAUAGCUAAUACCACAUAAGAGUAGAUGUCGCAUGACAUUUGCUUAAAGGGUGCAAUUGCAUCACUACCAGAUGGACCUGCGUUGUAUUAGCUAGUUGGUGAGGUAACGGCUCACCAAGGCAACGAUACAUAGCCGACCUGAGAGGGUGAUCGGCCACACUGGGACUGAGACACGGCCCAGACUCCUACGGGAGGCAGCAGUAGGGAAUCUUCGGCAAUGGACGGAAGUCUGACCGAGCAACGCCGCGUGAGUGAAGAAGGUUUUCGGAUCGUAAAGCUCUGUUGUAAGAGAAGAACGAGUGUGAGAGUGGAAAGUUCACACUGUGACGGUAUCUUACCAGAAAGGGACGGCUAACUACGUG